CAGAGAGUUCACUGUUCAGACGGACAGAAUCUCCCCUGUAUUUGCAUGGCGUCGUAUAAGUACAAGAUACAAUCACAACAUAUGAACAUCCAUAUUCAUUCACCAUUCACAUAUUAACAUUCAUUUCAUAAAAAAUAUUCAUAAGUUCACAUCUAUUAGUUUAAAACGUUUCCCACUCGGAAACUCGUUUUGAAAUACUAAGAACUAGGAAAAACUAGAAAAUUCUUUUUAAAACCGUUUCCCAUAUGAAAAUUUUUUUCUUUUAAAACAUACUACCACGAGGGGUAGAAAACUAUUUUUAAUUUAUAAAACUUCGUAAACUUUAUUACAUUCAUAAAAACCAUAUGAAUUCAAAUAAAAUAAACCACUGAACCAUAAAUAUAGUCUAAGUC
rnacentral:lncRNA from 1 species